AUGGAGGCUGUCAUAUCCGUAGUCACGGGUGAACUAGUGAGUCGUUUCAUCUCCUUCCUCAAAAACAAGUACAACUCCUCCUUGAGCCGUGCACAAUCAGAGAAGAUGGAGGAGAGAUUGCAGGACCUCCUGAUGAGAGUCAGCAUCGUCAUCGAGGAGGCGGAUGUGCGGUACACAACCAACUCUGGGAUGUUAUUGCAGCUCAAAAUGCUCUCAGGGGCCAUGUACAAAGGAUACUGCAUGCUGGACACCCUGAGGUUCCAGAACCACCAAGAGAGUGCAUGCUUUGACGAGGUUAGAAUCAACGACUCAUCUAGCAACAACUUGUAUUUAUCCAUUCCUUUCAAGCGUUCUCGGACAAAAACUGAGAUGGAUGCCAAGGCCAUGCGCCUCGAGUCAGAUGGUGCCUUGGAAAGCUUAGAAAUUAUUGUUGCUAAUAUGACAGAAUUUGUUGUGUUUCUGGGUGGAUGUGAGCGCAUGUCUCGUAGGCCAUAUGACAUUUAUCUUCACACCAACAACUUCAUGUUCAGCCGACAUGCUGAAAAGCAAAAUCUCUUGACCUUCUUGUUGGAGCACAACGAUUUUCAUGCACCGGCAGUUCUUCCAAUCAUAGGUGGUGUUGGAGUUGGGAAGGUUGCUCAUGUAUGUGCAGACGAAAGGGUUCGCUCACAAUUCUCCACUACUUUGCACUUGAAUGGAGACAACCUCUUGACGGUACUUGACCAUGGAGGAACCAUGUUUGGGAUGAUCUUGGUAGUUAUAGAGUUUGUUUCUGAUAUAGGCGAUGAUGACUGGAAAAAGUUUCACUUGUUUCUCGUAAGAAUGAACAGAGGAAGCAAGAUCAUCAUCAUAAGUAAACUUAAAGGAUUAGCCCGGUUUGGAUCGGUGCAUCCUAUUUUCUUAAGUGUUUUGUCUUAUGAUGAGUUUAGGUAUCUUUUUAAGACCCUAGCAUUCGGGAGCGUAGACCCUGCAGAACAUCCACGACUACUGCAAUUAGCAGAUGAGUUUGCCAAUCAGUUGCACAAUAAGCAAGGUUCACUUGUAGCAAUAAAUACGUUCUCACAUGUGUUGAGAAUGAACCUCACUACUCAGUUUUGGUGUUGCAUAUUUGACAAGAUGACAAGGCAUGUUAAAAGAAACCUCUACAUACAUGGUGCACACCCCAGCAAGCUUAUGGAACAAGGCCUUCCAGUCGACAUAACGGACUUUGCUUUGCAUCCACUUACCAUGACAAGUUAUACAAGUAAUAUUCCAAUCAAGGAGGAAUCACCAAGUGUGACAUUUGCAGAGCUUCUAGCAAAUCCUAGUUUUAGACCAGAAGGAGACUUCACUCUAAUUAGAUAUGAAUCAAGGAUACCCCCUCAUAAAUCAUUUGUUCAUUUGCUUACAAGUCGUGCUCAGGAUACACAUGAAGGUAGUAGUACCUUGCCAGGGAGAAAACAACGGGGUGUGCCAAUCUAA
rnacentral:rRNA from 1 species